rnacentral:lncRNA from 1 species
UGAAAUAAGGGUUUGAACUCUGGUUUGGGGUUUUAGUUCUCGUUUCUUUAUUUUAUCCACCUCAUCUCCAACUUUUUCAUCCUAGUUCAUUCUCUUCUGCAGCUUUGUGUUCCAUUUUUAUAUCUUCUUUCAAGUUAUGAAAGAUACCAGUCCUUUGAAAUGUUCCCUUAAGCCUUGCUUAUAGCCUUUUUAGGAGUAUGUUCUUAUUAAGUUUUCCAGAUGCUCUUUCCAUUUCCUUUUGUUACACCGUUUUUGUUUUUCAUAUUCUCUUCAUUGCUUUCUUCAUUUUUGCUGCUAGUUUCUUUACUGAUCUUCAAAGAAGGCAGGAUUUGUUCAGACAGAGAAGCCACUUAUCGCCACAGAGGAUUUUGGAUCCUUUUGGCCCUGCCUUCUGUCUGCCUAUAGAAUGGAAGAACUGUUUCUUCAGAUCUCAACUCUGAAAACAUGUCUGAGGUCAGACUGCCUAGAUCUGAAUGCUAGCUGCGAUAGCAUGUUCUAGGCUGUUGGUUGGGAGUUAUUCACAGCUCCUAGGCCCUCUAAGUCUUUGUAUGUGGACCCAUCUUUCUUCAAGCCAACAACAGUGCUCAGUUCAGGUAUCACAUUUGUCAAAUGGUAUAAUCAUCUCUUCGCCUGAAGACAAGAGCCUGGGGAACUUCUCAAAUGCCAGCCAGCACUUAGCCAGCAAAACUCCUUGAAGGUAAAGAUGGCCAAAAGGCACACACCA